rnacentral:sRNA from 19 species
AUCGGGGUACUGACCGGUGAAAAUCGUUGGGCGACUGGGCACGCA